UACGUAGGUGGCGAGCGUUGUCCGGAUUUACUGGGCGUAAAGAGCGCGCAGGCGGUCGUACAAGUCGCGUGUGAAAGCCCCCGGCUCAACUGGGGAGGGUCACGCGAUACUGUUCGACUCGAAGGCAGGAGAGGGAAGUGGAAUUCCCGGUGUAGUGGUGAAAUGCGUAGAUAUCGGGAGGAACACCAGUGGCGAAGGCGGUUACCUGGAGCUUUGCUGACGCUGAUGCGCGAAAGCGUGGGGAGCGAGUCCGG
rnacentral:rRNA from 1 species